CCGACGGAGUGCCCCGGUGGGAGGGGCCCGCCGGCCGGCUGGGCGGCCGGGGCGGGCCUUCGGGGACGGUUCGUCACCGGCUUCGUCGGU
rnacentral:tRNA from 1 species